AUUGAACGCUGGCGGCAUGCCUUACACAUGCAAGUCGAACGGUAACAGGUUAACGGAUGCCUACGACUGGCGGACGGUUGCGUACUACAGCGGAACGUGCCCAGACGUGGUGGUUAACGAGGCGUAAGGUAUGCUAAUACCCCAUACUAUCUAAGGCGGACAACGGGGGACCGCAAGGCCUUUUGCGAUUUUGGCGGCCGGUGGCAGAUUAGGUAGUUGGAGGGAUAAAAGCUUACCAAGCCGACGAUCUGUAGCUGGUCUGAGAGGACGACCAGCCACACUGGAACUGAGACACGGCCCAGACUCCUACGGGAGGCAGCAGUGGGGAAUUUUGGACAAUGGGCGAAAGCCUGAUCCAGCCAUGCCGCGUGGGGGAUGAAGGCCUUCGGGUUGUAAACUGCUUUUGUUGGGAAAGAAAAGGAUCAGGUUAAUACCUGGGGCUUCUGACGGUACCGAAAGAAUAAGCACCGGCUAACUACGUG
rnacentral:rRNA from 1 species